AAGUGAUCUAUCCAUGAGCAAGUUGAAGCUAGUGUAAGAACUAGUGGAGGACUGAACCCAUAGGCGUUGAAAAGCCCCGGGAUGACUUGUGGAUAGGGGUGAAAGGCCAAUCAAACUUCGUGAUAGCUGGUUCUCUCCGAAAUAUAUUUAGGUAUAGCGUUGUGUCGUAAUAUAAGGGGGUAGAGCACUGAAUGGGCUAGGGCAUACACCAAUGUACCAAACCCUAUCAAACUCCGAAUACCUUAUAUGUAAUCACAGCAGUCAGGCGGCGAGUGAUAAAAUCCGUCGUCAAGAGGGAAACAACCCAGACUACCAGCUAAGGUCCCUAAAUCUUACUUAAGUGGAAAACGAUGUGAAGUUACUUAAACAACCAGGAGGUUGGCUUAGAAGCAGCCAUCCUUUAAAGAAAGCGUAAUAGCUCACUGGUCUAGUGAUUUUGCGCGGAAAAUAUAACGGGGCUAAAGUAAGUACCGAAGCUGUAGACUUGCGCACAACUUAGAUUAUUUAAGUUUAGAAUAUGAGAAACUAAGUUAUGUUUAGUUAUAUUUUUACUGAUUUUUAUAGAGUAAAGAUAGAAAUAAAACUUAGUAAAAUCAGUAAAAAUAUUCUUAGGCUAAAGUUAAGUAGUUUAAGUUGUGUGCAAGUGGUAGGAGAGCGUUCUAUUUGCGUCGAAGGUAUACCGGUAAGGAGUGCUGGAGCGAAUAGAAGUGAGCAUGCAGGCAUGAGUAGCGAUAAUUAAUGUGAGAAUCAUUAACGCCGUAAACCCAAGGUUUCCUACGCGAUGCUCGUCAUCGUAGGGUUAGUCGGGUCCUAAGUCGAGUCCGAAAGGGGUAGACGAUGGCAAAUUGGUUAAUAUUCCAAUACCAACAUUAGUGUGCGAUGAAAGGACGCUUAGGGCUAAGGGGGCUAGCGGAUGGAAGUGCUAGUCUAAGGUCGUAGGAGGUUAUACAGGCAAAUCCGUAUAACAAUACUCCGAGAACUGAAAGGCUUUUUGAAGUCUUCGGAUGGAUAGAAGAACCCCUGAUGCCGUCGAGCCAAGAAAAGUUUCUAAGUUUAGCUAAUGUUGCCCGUACCGUAAACCGACACAGGUGGGUGGGAUGAGUAUUCUAAGGCGCGUGGAAGAACUCUCUUUAAGGAACUCUGCAAAAUAGCACCGUAUCUUCGGUAUAAGGUGUGGUUAGCUUCGUACUAGGAUUUACUCCGAAAGCGAAGAAACUUACAACAAAGAGUCCCUCCCGACUGUUUACCAAAAACACAGCACUCUGCUAACUCGUAAGAGGAUGUAUAGGGUGUGACGCCUGCCCGGUGCUCGAAGGUUAAUUGAUGGGGUUAGCAUUAGCGAAGCUCUUGAUCGAAGCCCGAGUAAACGGCGGCCGUAACUAUAACGGUCCUAAGGUAGCGAAAUUCCUUGUCGGUUAAAUACCGACCUGCAUGAAUGGCGUAACGAGAUGGGAGCUGUCUCAAAGAGGGAUCCAGUGAAAUUGUAGUGGAGGUGAAAAUUCCUCCUACCCGCGGCAAGACGGAAAGACCCCGUGGACCUUUACUACAGCUUGACACUGCUACUUGGAUAAGAAUGUGCAGGAUAGGUGGGAGGCUUUGAGUAUAUGACGCCAGUUGUAUAUGAGCCAUUGUUGAGAUACCACUCUUUCUUAUUUGGGUAGCUAACCAGCUUGAGUUAUCCUCAAGUGGGACAAUGUCUGGUGGGUAGUUUGACUGGGGCGGUCGCCUCCCAAAUAAUAACGGAGGCUUACAAAGGUUGGCUCAGAACGGUUGGAAAUCGUUCGUAGAGUAUAAAGGUAUAAGCCAGCUUAACUGCAAGACAUACAAGUCAAGCAGAGACGAAAGUCGGUCUUAGUGAUCCGGUGGUUCUGUGUGGAAGGGCCAUCGCUCAAAGGAUAAAAGGUACCCCGGGGAUAACAGGCUGAUCUCCCCCAAGAGCUCACAUCGACGGGGAGGUUUGGCACCUCGAUGUCGGCUCAUCGCAUCCUGGGGCUGGAGCAGGUCCCAAGGGUAUGGCUGUUCGCCAUUUAAAGCGGUACGCGAGCUGGGUUCAGAACGUCGUGAGACAGUUCGGUCCCUAUCUGCCGUGGGCGUAAGAAGAUUGAAGAGAUUUGACCCUAGUACGAGAGGACCGGGUUGAACAAACCACUGGUGUAGCUGUUGUUCUGCCAAGAGCAUCGCAGCGUAGCUAAGUUUGGAAAGGAUAAACGCUGAAAGCAUCUAAGCGUGAAGCCAACUCUAAGAUGAAUCUUCUCUAAGCUCUCUAGAAGACUACUAGUUUGAUAGGCUGGGUGUGUAAUGGAUGAAAGUCCUUUAGCUGACCAGUACUAAUAGAGCGUUUGGCUUAUCU
rnacentral:rRNA from 1 species